rnacentral:misc_RNA from 1 species
GCAAAGGGAAGAAAUUCUUAAAUUGAUCAAAUAUGUAGAACAAAGCUCUGACAAGCAAAUGGAGUCAACUGAAGCAGCCACAAAUGACCUUUUGCAGAUAUUACCUGCUUCUGCUAGGGAGAGGGAGCGCAGGCUCAGUUGAUUAAUCUACAACAAAGUGCUGGAAAACUCGUUGAGGAAUUGCAGAGACAGAAGAUGAAAAACACACAGUUAGAAAGAAGGCUGAAUGCUUUGGUCUAUAAGUGAAGAAAAUGAAGCUUAUGAUGAUAGUUUCUUCUGUGGGUUGAUAAUUCAUCAGUGACAAAAGAUUGUGACCAUCUGCCAAGCACUUAUGAG